AGAGUUUGAUCCUGGCUCAGAACGAACGCUGGCGGCGUGCCUAAUACAUGCAAGUCGCACGAGAAAGUCCUUCGGGACGAGUAUAGUGGCGCACGGGAGAGUAAUGCAUAGGAACGUACCUUUCGGUGGGGAAUAACCACGGGAAACUGUGGCUAAUACCGCAUUAUGACGCGAGUCUAAAGAGGGCCUCUAUUUAUAAGCUCUCGCCGAUCGAGCGGCCUAUGUCCCAUUAGCUAGUUGGUGAGGUAAUGGCUCACCAAGGCGACGAUGGGUAGCUGGUCUGAGAGGACGAUCAGCCUCACUGGGACUGAGACACGGCCCAGACUCCUACGGGAGGCAGCAGUAGGGAAUUUUGCACAAUGGGCGCAAGCCUGAUGCAGCAACGCCGCGUGAGUGAAGAAGGCUCUUGGGUUGUAAAGCUCUUUCGGACGGGAAGAAGGGGUAUCCCUCGAACAGGUGGAUAUUCUGACGGUACCGUAAGAAGAAGCACCUGCUAACUUCGUGCCAGCAGCAGCGGUAAUACGAAGGGUGCAAGCGUUGUUCGGAAUUACUGGGCGU
rnacentral:rRNA from 1 species